rnacentral:rRNA from 1 species
UACGUAGGGGGCAAGCGUUGUCCGGAAUCAUCGGGCGUAAAGCGCGUGUAGGCGGCCCGGUAAGUCCGCUGUGAAAGUCGGGGGCUCAACCCUCGGAUGCCGGUGGAUACUGUCGGGCUUGAGUACGGAAGAGGCGAGUGGAAUUCCUGGUGUAGCGGUGAAAUGCGCAGAUAUCAGGAGGAACACCUAUUGCGAAGGCAGCUCGCUGGGACGUGACUGACGCUGAGACGCGAAAGCGUGGGGAGCAAACAGG